GCCCGAGGGGUCGCGCCGGCGGGAACCGUGCCCCGAGGGGUGGGACUGAGCCAGCUUCGUCCCGGGCUCCGCGCCCUGCCGCGCCCAGGGGUGUGGCCGCCCUCUGUGCGGUAAUGGCAGGGGGGCGCGCAGCGGCCAGAGGUGGGCUGCGGCGUCUUUGAGGGGGUUAGAGCGGACCGGGGUCCGCCGCCGCGGGGGGGAUGGGGUGCAGUUCCCGAGACCCUACGGCAGCCGGCACCCCCCCCCCCCCCCCACUUCCCGCCGUGGGGCAUUUGCAAGGCAGGGGCGAGCGUGAGGCCUUACGGAUAUGUGUGGUGCUGCUUUGCUGGCUCCAGCUGUGCACCGUGGCCUCCCCACCGCGCACACCUGGGAACUCCUGAAGCCCUCCAAGGGCGAGCAGUGACACCCCACAGAUGUGGGCAGUGACGCCCUUCAGAUGAUGUCCCGAGGUCCUCUCAUCAGACCGGCGUCCCGCGAGGCCGCACGGCUGCAGAGAAGGCGGCCGCCGACCAUCUCUGCCUGUCUGUCCGGCACCGAGGGAGGCCCACGGGGAGCAGCCCAACUCUAGCCUGCGUGGGGCUCACAUCAGCCAGCAGGGAGACCAGCCCCUAGCCACACGGUGUGGUGACAGCCACGAAGGAGACGUGCGGGCACACCCUGCAUCCGCCCUGGUGCGCCCUGCAGAUACCGCCUUCUUCCACACCGAGGGUCUGGGGUGACCCUGCGCUGAGCGUGUCUCCACUGCUCCGACCGCACCUCCCUCGGUGUCUCUGUGCCACAGUCUGGUAAUUCUCCCAGUAUUUCAGACAUUUCCAUUACCAUUCUAUUUGUCACGGUGA